ACGAACGCUGGCGGCGUGCUUAACACCUGCCAGUCGAACGGAAAGGCCCUGCUUUUGUGGGGUGCUCGAGUGGCGAACGGGUGAGUAACACGUGAGUAACCUGCCCUUGACUUUGGGAUAACUUCAGGAAACUGGGGCUAAUACCGGAUAGGAGCUCCUGCUGCAUGGUGGGGGUUGGAAAGUUUCGGCGGUUGGGGAUGGACUCGCGGCUUAUCAGCUUGUUGGUGGGGUAGUGGCUUACCAAGGCUUUGACGGGUAGCCGGCCUGAGAGGGUGACCGGCCACAUUGGGACUGAGAUGCGGCCCAGACUCCUACGGGAGGCAGCAGUGGGGAAUAUUGCACAAUGGGCGGAAGCCUGAUGCAGCAACGCCGCGUGCGGGAUGACGGCCUUCGGGUUGUAAACCGCUUUCGCCUGUGACGAGGCGUGAGUGACGGUAAUGGGUAAAGAAGCACCGGCUAACUACGUG
rnacentral:rRNA from 1 species